rnacentral:rRNA from 1 species
GACGAACGCUGGCGGCGUGCCUAAUACAUGCAAGUAGAACGCACAGUUUAUACCGUAGCUUGCUACACCAUAGACUGUGAGUUGCGAACGGGUGAGUAACGCGUAGGUAACCUGCCUGGUAGCGGGGGAUAACUAUUGGAAACGAUAGCUAAUACCGCAUAAUAUUGAUUAUUGCAUGAUAAUUGAUUGAAAGAUGCUAUUGCAUCACUACCAGAUGGACCUGCGUUGUAUUAGCUAGUAGGUGAGGUAACGGCUCACCUAGGCGACGAUACAUAGCCGACCUGAGAGGGUGAUCGGCCACACUGGGACUGAGACACGGCCCAGACUCCUACGGGAGGCAGCAGUAGGGAAUCUUCGGCAAUGGACGAAAGUCUGACCGAGCAACGCCGCGUGAGUGAAGAAGGUUUUCGGAUCGUAAAGCUCUGUUGUAAGAGAAGAACGGGUGUGAGAGUGGAAAGUUCACACUGUGACGGUAUCUUACCAGAAAGGGACGGCUAACUACGUG